GACGAACGCUGGCGGCGUGCUUAACACAUGCAAGUCGAACGGUAAGGCCCUUCGGGGUACACGAGUGGCGAACGGGUGAGUAACACGCGGGUGAUCUGCCCUGCACUUCGGGAUAAGACUGGGAAACUGGGUCUAAUACCGGAUAGGACCACUGCCUGCAUGGGUGGUGGGGGAAAGCUUUUGCGGUGUGGGAUGGGCCCGCGGCCUAUCAGCUUGUUGGUGGGGUGAUGGCCUACCAAGGCGACGACGGGUAGCCGGCCUGAGAGGGUGACCGGCCACACUGGGACUGAGAUACGGCCCAGACUCCUACGGGAGGCAGCAGUGGGGAAUAUUGCACAAUGGGCGCAAGCCUGAUGCAGCGACGCCGCGUGAGGGAUGACGGCCUUCGGGUUGUAAACCUCUUUCAGCACCGACGAAGCGCAAGUGACGGUAGGUGCAGAAGAAGGACCGGCCAACUACGUGCCAGCCGCCGCCGUAAAAC
rnacentral:rRNA from 1 species